rnacentral:rRNA from 1 species
UACGUAGGGAGCAAGCGUUAUCCGGAAUUAUUGGGUGUAAAGGGUGCGUAGACGGGAAAAUAAGUUAGUUGUGAAAUCCCUCUGCUCAACUGAGGAACUGCAACUAAAACUAUUUUUCUUGAGUGCAGGAGAGGAAAGUGGAAUUCCUAGUGUAGCGGUGAAAUGCGUAGAUAUUAGGAGGAACACCAGUGGCGAAGGCGACUUUCUGGACUGUAACUGACGUUGAGGCACGAAAGUGUGGGGAGCAAACAGG